UACGAAGGGGGCUAGCGUUGCUCGGAAUCACUGGGCGUAAAGCGCACGUAGGCGGAUUGUUAAGUCAGGGGUGAAAUCCUGGAGCUCAACUCCAGAACUGCCUUUGAUACUGGCGAUCUCGAGUCCGGGAGAGGUGAGUGGAACUGCGAGUGUAGAGGUGAAAUUCGUAGAUAUUCACAAGAACACCAGUGGCGAAGGCGGCUCACUGGCCCGGUACUGACGCUGAGGUGCGAAAGCGUGGGGAGCAAACAGG
rnacentral:rRNA from 1 species